UUAAUUCAUUUUCUUGUGAGACUCAGAAUAUGCCACUAUAAUUAAACAAGAGUUUGGGUCCUCCGGCGGGCGCCUGGUUCCGGGCCGAUGGCGCCGGGGCGGUCCCGCCGAAGCAACGUUCGGGUAUGUUCACAGGGGUUUGGGAGUUGAUAACUCGGUAAUGAUCCCUCCGCUGGUUCACCAACGGAGA
rnacentral:misc_RNA from 1 species